GAUGAACGCUGGCGGCGUGCCUAAUACAUGCAAGUCGAGCGAACAGACGAGGAUCUUGCUCCUCUGACGUUAGCGGCGGACGGGUGAGUAACACGUGGAUAACCUACCUAUAAGACUGGGAUAACUUCGGGAAACCGGAGCUCAUACAGGAUAAUAUAUUGAACCUCAUGGUUCAAUAGUGAAAGACGGUUUUGCUGUCACUUAUAGAUGGUUCCUCGCCGCAUUAGCUAGUUGGUAAGGUAACGGCUUACCAAGGCAACGAUGCGUAGCCGACCUGAGAGGGUGAUCAGCCACACUGGAACUGAGACACGGUCCAGACUCCUACGGGAGGCAGCAGUAGGGAAUCUUCCGCAAUGGGCGAAAGCUUGACGGAGCAACGCCGCGUGAGUGAUGAAGGUCUUCGGAUCGUAAAGCUCUGUUAGUAGGGAGGAACAAAUGUAUAAGUAACUAUGCCCGUCUUGACGGUACCUAAUCAAAAAGCCACGGCUAACUUCGUG
rnacentral:rRNA from 1 species